UUAGUUUCCUGUGGUUGCCAUAACAAAUUGCCACAAACUGCGUGGCUUUAAACAACAUAAAUUUAUUCUCACAGUUUUGGAAUCCAGAAGUUAGAAAUCUGGUAGACUGUGCUCACUCUAAAGGUCCUGCCUUGCCGCUUCUAGUUUCUGGUGGCUCAAGCAUUCCUUGGCUUGUGGCAGCAAAACUCUGAUGUCUGUCUCCAUAUUCACAUGGCGGCCCCUUCUUCUCUGUGUGUUUUUGUGCCUCCAGUCUUUCCCUUCUUUCUCUUAAUAAGGAUUUAGGGCCCACCCUAAAUCCAGGAUGAUCUCAUGAGAUCCCUAAUUUAAUUUUAUCUGCAAAAACUAUUUCCAAAUAGCAUCACAUUCCCAGGUAUCAGGAGUUAGGACUUGGACAUCUUUUUAAAGGACCACAGUUGAACCCACCGUAGUGCGUAAUAAAGGAGAUAGACGGUAAAAUCAUAAUGUGAAUUUUUAAGGUCUGUGGAAUACUAAUAUCAAGUAACAGAUAAGUUGGGAAGGGGAACCAGUUUUAGGGAGAGGAUGGCAUAAACCCUAAACAAUGAUUUUGAAGCAGUCAUGAAAAAUUCAAGUGGAGAUAAUAAUUAAAGAAGUAGAUUAAUUCCCUAAAGCAGAGAAGGAACUUUAAAAAAAAAACUGUAAGAAAUGGGCAAAUGGGCAUAUAGACAGGAAAGCCGAGAAAGCAUAGUCAAGUGAACCAGCGGUGUAAUUAAAUAGUUCUUUGUAACCUGUUUCAUAAAAUAU
rnacentral:lncRNA from 10 species